GCUGGGAAGAGGAAGAAAGCGAGAGUCCAGGAGCAGUGGGGAUAGGAACACAGAGGAAAGUAUAAAUUCUCUAUUUUCUCUUCUAGCACUGGAUGAGGAGAUUUGAUUUUGUGUUUUCCCAGUGCCUCCCAUUCCUAUUGUUCUUCGAUUUUCCUCCCAUUCCCUUUAGCU
rfam:Triticum urartu cultivar G1812 contig171673, whole genome shotgun sequence.